ACACGUCAUACAAUGGUCGGUACAGAGGGUUGGCCAACCCGCCGAGGGGGAGGCUAAUCCCACAAAGCCGAUCGUAGUCCGGAUCGCAGUCUGCAACUCGACUGCGUGAAGUCGGAAUCGCUAGUAAUCGUGGAUCAGAAUGUCACGGUGAAUACGUUCCCGGGUCUU
rnacentral:rRNA from 1 species